GAUAGGUGGGGUGUGUAAGUGCAGCGAUGCAUUGAGCUAACCCAUACUAAUUACCCGUGAGGCUUAACCAUACAACACCCAAGAAGUGUUCU
rnacentral:rRNA from 1 species